UUCAGUGUGCAGCCUAAAGUCAAACAGCUCACAGCCCUUUCACAGCACAGGGGUGUGUUUAUUUUCUGUCAUUUACCACUAUACAUAUAAAUGCAUGCAUUCACACACAUUAUACCAUUCUACCUAUUCACACUACACUGUACAAUUGGAAGCCUACAUCUUUUACAGUUUUCUUUCAGGAGGAAACUGAAAUCCCUGAAGCAGAAGGAGAUCAUGUGAACUCCAUAGACUCAGAGCGGAGGCAGGACUCGAGCCCCCAACCCUGUUAUGUGUGGAACGUGCGGAGAAGCUAAAAGGUUGAGGAACUUGACUUGUGUUGUGCUUCUAGUACACUGCUGGAGACAAAGUGGGAUGACAUCCUGAACAGUCCACCUCAAGGCACCGUAUGUAACCCCUGGGGUAAUUCUCAUCUAAUCCACCACGUGACCAUGGAGUCGAACACACACUUACAGUACAGGAAGAGUAACCCGAGCUCAGGAUCAUGUUUUAUCCUCAGAAAAGAAAUAAUAAAAUAAAAUAAUAAUAAAAAAAAAAUGGAAAACACCAAUCAAUGGAAAGUUAAAGGUCUUCCUCAAAGAUCUCUGGUACUCUGCUUAUCACUAACGACUCAACCAGCUGCCCCAUGCCUUAUCUGAUCAAUAAACAGAAAGCUUGUGUAAACUGGAUAUUUGCAACGUCUGGAUCAUUAAAAUGUAAGAUCUAAGAUACCAGUGCUUGGCCACAGGGUUACUUUUUAUCCGUUGUUACGAAUAUUCCAAGCAGCAUUGGUACAGGAACGUGAACUUUUCUUUUAAAAUUGGAAAUCUCUUCAGAAACGUCCCUGUGUUUGAUGUGAAGCGGCUUUUCAUUAAUCAUCUGGGGUGAAGACCGAGGACAGUUUAGAGCAGAAUGACCUUCUUGUGAAGCAGAAAACGGAGCACAGAGGCUAACAAGGACUAAUACUUUUUAUGCAAAGAACCGCAAUUAUCAAUCGCAAAGUGGACUUACCGAGAAUGUCUUUACAAACCUGUAAUAAUAAUUAUUCUUUCAACGGUAUAAUCAGAGGCGCUGAAUCACCGUGUUCUUUCACUUGAUUGGCUAGUUUAACCCCGGUCAGGGUUAGCUGAGUUAAUUCAUCAAUAGAGACAUUAAAUGGAGAAAGUAACUACAUUUCAGAGACAUGAAAAUAUUCAAAGUGUGCUUUUUACUUCUUUUUUUUUUCAGAGCGGCUCUUAAUAAAGGAUGUAAAAUAAACUCAUUUGAACUCCCAAAUUGAUUUUAUUCCUAUUCUCAAAUCAUGACUGGUGAUAAGACUAAAAACAGCACCAUCCAUAUUAAGCUGUUUACAUCUUGUUUUUGCACAUGCUGGACUUGCUCUACUGGAUUUGCGCUGCUAUUACAUAUAUACAUAUAUACAUAUAUAUAUAUAUAUAUAUAUACACACAU